rfam:Ovis aries breed Texel chromosome 4, whole genome shotgun sequence.
UCCUUGGUAGUCCAAUGGUUAGGACUUGGUAUUUACACUGCCAUGGGCCCAGGUUCAGUCUCUGGUCAAGAAC